AGCAGCCGCGGUAAUUCCCGCUCCAAUAGCGUAUAUUAAAGUUGUUGCAGUUAAAAAGCUCGUAGUUGAAUUUCGGGGUUAGUAGGUUGGUCAUGCCUCUGGUAUGUACUGGUCUCACUGAUUCCUCCUUCCUGAUGAACCUUAAUGCCAUUAAUUUGGUGUUUUGGGGAAUUUGGACUGUUACUUUGAAAAAAUUAGAGUGUUUAAAGCAAGCUAACGCUUGAAUACAUUAGCAUGGAAUAAUGAAAUAGGACGUUCGAUCCUAUUUUGUUGGUUUCUAGGAUUGACGUAAUGAUUAAUAGGGAUAGUUGGGGGCAUUAGUAUUCAAUUGUCAGAGGUGAAAUUCUUGGAUUUAUUGAAGACUAACUACUGCGAAAGCAUUUGCCAAGGAUGUUUUCAUUAAUCAAGAACGAAAGUUAGGGGAUCGAAGACGACCAGAUACCGUCGUAGUCUUAACCAUAAACUAUGCCGACUAGGGAUCGGAUGAUGUUAAUUUAAUGACUCC
rnacentral:rRNA from 1 species